ensembl:snoRNA SNORD58 Small nucleolar RNA SNORD58
UUGCUGUGAUGACUUAUCUUAGGACACCUUUGGAAUACUCAUGAAAAAAAAUGUUAUUUCUGAGCAAC